rnacentral:rRNA from 1 species
CAAGUCGAGGGGCAGCAUGGUCUUAGCUUGCUAAGGCCGAUGGCGACCGGCGCACGGGUGAGUAACGCGUAUCCAACCUGCCUUACACUCUUGGACAGCCUUCUGAAAGGGAGAUUAAUACAAGAUGUUAUCAUGAGUAAGCAUUUUCGCAUGAUUAAAGGUUUACCGGUGUAAGAUGGGGAUGCGUUCCAUUAGAUAGUAGGCGGGGUAACGGCCCACCUAGUCUUCGAUGGAUAGGGGUUCUGAGAGGAAGGUCCCCCACAUUGGAACUGAGACACGGUCCAAACUCCUACGGGAGGCAGCAGUGAGGAAUAUUGGUCGAUGGACGAGAGUCUGAACCAGCCAAGUAGCGUGAAGGAUGAAGGUUCUAUGGAUUGUAAACUUCUUUUAUACGGGAAUAAACGGAUCCACGUGUGGAUUUUUGCAUGUACCGUAUGAAUAAGGAUCGGCUAACUCCGUGCCAGCAGCCGCGGUAAUACGGAGGAUCCGAGCGUUAUCCGGAUUUAUUGGGUUUAAAGGGAGCGUAGAUGGGUUGUUAAGUCAGUUGUGAAAGUUUGCGGCUCAACCGUAAAAUUGCAAUUGAUACUGGCAGUCUUGAGUACAGUUGAGGUAGGCGGAAUUCGUGGUGUAGCGGUGAAAUGCUUAGAUAUCACGAAGAACUCCGAUUGCGAAGGCAGCUUACUAACCUGUAACUGACAUUGAUGCUCGAAAGUGUGGGUAUCAAACAGGAUUAGAUACCCUGGUAGUCCACACGGUAAACGAUGAAUACUCGCUGUAGGCGAUAUACAGUCUGCGGCCAAGCGAAAGCAUUAAGUAUUCCACCUGGGGAGUACGCCGGCGACGGUGAAACUCAAAGGAAUUGACGGGGG